rnacentral:rRNA from 1 species
UGAGGAAUAUUGGUCAAUGGGCGGAAGCCUGAACCAGCCAUGCCGCGUGAAGGAAGAAGGCCCUAAGGGUUGUAAACUUCUUUUGUACGGGGGUAACACCAGGCUCGUGAGCUUGGAUGAAAGUACUGUACGAAUAAGCGUCGGCUAACUACGUGCCAGCAGCCGCGGUAAUACGUAGGACGCAAGCGUUAUCCGGAUUCAUUGGGUUUAAAGGGUGCGUAGGCGGGCCUUUAAGUCAGUGGUGAAAGUUUGCCGCUUAACGGUAAGAUUGCCAUUGAUACUGGAGGCCUUGAGUGCAGAUGAGGUAGGCGGAAUGUGUAGUGUAGUGGUGAAAUACUUAGAUAUUACACAGAACACCGAUUGCGAAGGCAGCUUGCUAAGUUGCAACUGACGCUGAGGC